AUGAACGCUGGCGGCGUGCUUAACACAUGCAAGUCGAACGUGAAGGGGGUAGAAAUACUCCUGGAAAGUGGCAAACGGGUGAGUAACACGUAGAUACCUGCCUCGAAGUGGGGGAUAACCACGGGAAACUGUGGCUAAUACCGCAUGGUCUUGUUGAUGCGGGAGCAUGGGCAAGUAAAGCUUAAUGUGCUUCGAGAGGGGUCUGCGCCCGAUUAGCUAGUUGGUGAGGUAAUGGCUCACCAAGGCUGGGAUCGGUAGCUGGUCUGAGAGGACGAUCAGCCACACGGGAACUGAGACACGGUCCCGACUCCUACGGGGGGCAGCAGUGAGGAAUAUUGGGCAAUGGACGCAAGUCUGACCCAGCAACGCCGCGUGGAGGACGAAGGCUUUCGGGUUGUAAACUCCUUUUAUGGGGGAAAAGCAAGGAUGGUACCCCAGGAAUAAGUCACGGCUAACUACGU
rnacentral:rRNA from 1 species